GCUCCAGUAGCGUAUAUUAAAGUUGUUGCAGUUAAAAAGCUCGUAGUUGGAUGUUGGGGCGGGAUGGCUGGUCUGCCUGCGGGUGGAACUGGCGCAUGGCCGCCUUUGGCCUGUGGUGCGUUGGCGUGCUUGAGUGUGCGCUGGCGUGGCGCGGGCGGUUUACUUUGAGAAAAUCAGGGUGCUCCAAGCAGGCGGAAGCC
rnacentral:rRNA from 1 species